rnacentral:rRNA from 1 species
CCGCGGUAAUACGAAGGGGGCUAGCGUUGUUCGGAAUUACUGGGCGUAAAGCGCACGUAGGCGGCAUUCCAAGUUGGAGGUGAAAUCCCCGGGCUUAACCUGGGAACUGCCUCCAAAACUGGGAAGCUCGAGUCCGAGAGAGGUGAGUGGAAUUUCCAGUGUAGAGGUGAAAUUCGUAGAUAUUGGAAAGAACACCAGUGGCGAAGGCGGCUCACUGGCUCGGUACUGACGCUGAGGAGCGACAGCGUGG